GAUGAAGAACGUAGCGAAAUGCGAUAACUAAUGUGAAUUGCAGAAUUCAGUGAAUCAUCGAGUCUUUGAACGCACAUUGCGCCCCCUGGUAUUCCGGGGGGCAUGCCUGUCCGAGCGUCAUUGCUGCCCUCAAGCACGGCUUGUGUGUUGGGCUCCGUCCCCCCGGGGACGGGCCCGAAAGGCAGCGGCGGCACCGAGUCCGGUCCUCGGGCGUAUGGGGCUUUGUCACCCGCUCUGUAGGCCCGGCCGGCGCCAGCCGACAACCCAUCAUCCUUUUCAGGUUGACCUCGGAUCAGGUAGGGAUACCCGCUGAACUUAAGCAUAUCAAUAAGCGGAGGA
rnacentral:misc_RNA from 1 species